UCCCUGAUAGCUCAGCUGGUAAAGAAUCUGCCUGCAAUGCAGGAGACCUGGGUUUGAUCCCUGGAUUGGGAA
rnacentral:tRNA from 1 species